rnacentral:rRNA from 1 species
UACGAAGGGAGCUAGCGUUGUUCGGAAUUACUGGGCGUAAAGGGCGUGUAGGCGGUAUUAUAAGUCAGAUGUGAAAGCCCUGGGCUUAACCUAGGAACUGCAUUUGAUACUGUAAAACUAGAGAUCGAGAGAGGAAAGUGGAAUUACGAGUGUAGAGGUGAAAUUCGUAGAUAUUCGUAAGAACACCAGUGGCGAAGGCGACUUUCUGGCUCGAUACUGACGCUAAGGCGCGAAAGCGUGGGGAGCAAACAGG